GCAGCUGGUGAGGUCACAGGCUGUGACAGUCGAAACUCUGUAACGGGAAAAGGCUUUCUUUUAUUUUCAGUUCUGUAUUUUUUCCAAAUAUUGACUGCCAGCGAAAUGAAGCCUUUCAGGGACGGCGGUCAGGACAGCGGACAGCCUAUCACGUUAUCAGGAGCUCGCUGACUCUUCAACGGCCAGUUCCUCCAUACACUUUGGUGACUCCCGCUCUACGUGGAGGCACCCCGGCGGUCCGGUUCUCAACACUCUCAGCUUUUCACUGGCCUGGGCGAAGUAGUUCUUUAGCUCCUCCACUGGACCUUCUCCGGAGAACAGCCUCUCCACGUACGCCUGGGCGUAUUGAUCCGAGGUGAUCGUCUCCAGGUUGAGUGAGGACAAUGAAGCUGCAACGUGAAGAAGAUGCUGCAGCCAAUCCCGGCUGAUUUCGGGCAGAUGGCAGACUACACCCUGAACUGGUCGCCACUCAGUCGCCGGGCACAUGUGGACACAAACGACCAUUCACACGAGUCCGGUUGUCUUACCUGUAAGCAGGUACCAUCUGUGCCAGGUCCUCCUUGUAUUGCUCCAGCACGGCCCUCGCUGACAGGGGCUCGUCACGCCCCUCCAGGACAGCCAAGUGAAUCAACAUUUGGGUAUGGAACGCCGCCCCGCUAGCCCAGAACCUCAAAGACCUGAACGUCCGAAAGUGUAGUCCUGGAGGAGUCGUGUUUUAUCAGCCAGGUUGAUCCUGCAGCGUUUCAAGUACUCCUCCAUGACUUCUUGGAGCUCCCGCACUCUCUAUUGGAGAUCAUGUUUCAUUUUAAUUCCAUCCAAAGAGUUCCAAGAUCAUACAUCACAACAAGGCUUAACCUGGCACGACGAUGGACCGGUCGCCGUCUUUCCCGCCCGCGACAAGGAUGUGACAAGCAGGUCCAUUACCAUGGUAACGGCAAGUCCCAGCAGUCCGGCGAGACGGGGUUCAUCCGAGAAUGAUGAUAGUCGUCCAAUCAGAUCCUUCAGGAAGAAGGUUACAACUGCUCAGGGAGCUGCAGGAUUGUUUUUUACAGAGGCUAAAGAAUAUAUACCUUCCUUAUUUAUUUGGGGAUGGCAACAUCAUCUACAGUGAAUUUCUGAGGCACACAGGGCAUUUGCGCCUGGAGGUGGGCCCCAGGUUCUUCGUUGGCCAACAGCAGGGGGUGCACUACGCUCAGGUUCGGUACAGCUCCACCCUCCAACAUGGUCCGGUACAAAAGGUUACCAAUGGCACAUUUCACCCCGGAGAGUUCCUCUUCUGACGACAGCAGCUGGCCCAUGUUGACGUAUUUAGCGGCUAAGAUUCUAAGCUAACACUUCACAAAAUAAUGUAGCAGUACUUUCACAUUUGAGCUUGUGUGUGUGUUGUUGUUGUUGUUUUUUUUUUAACUGGUCUCUUGCUCGCUUCCUGUCCCACUUCCUUUUCCUGCUCCAGUAGAGUUUUCCAAGACAAGACUGGAGUCGAAUUUAGCUGAGCUAUAAAUGUUGACCUCCCCCUAGCCACGGGGAGCAGAACCCUUCAGCGUAUUGCAAAAAGAUGGCCCUUUAAAGACGCUGACCCCCGAAAGCCCUCUGACCCCUUUAAAUAUCAACCCUUCAAAGAGUAAAGUCGUUAUUAAAACA